AGUGAACGCUGGCGGUAGGCCUAACACAUGCAAGUCGAACGGCAGCACAGUAAGAGCUUGCUCUUACGGGUGGCGAGUGGCGGACGGGUGAGGAAUACAUCGGAAUCUACUUUUUUGUGGGGGAUAACGUAGGGAAACUUACGCUAAUACCGCAUACGACCUACGGGUGAAAGCAGGGGAUCUUCGGACCUUGCGCGAUUGAAUGGGCCGAUGUCGGAUUAGCUAGUUGGCGGGGUAAAGGCCCACCAAGGCGACGAUCCGUAGCUGGUCUGAGAGGAUGAUCAGCCACACUGGAACUGAGACACGGUCCAGACUCCUACGGGAGGCAGCAGUGGGGAAUAUUGGACAAUGGGCGCAAGCCUGAUCCAGCCAUACCGCGUGGGUGAAGAAGGCCUUCGGGUUGUAAAGCCCUUUUGUUGGGAAAGAAAAGCAGCAGGUUAAUACCCCGCUGUUCUGACGGUACCCAAAGAAUAAGCACCGGCUAACUUCGUG
rnacentral:rRNA from 1 species